rnacentral:rRNA from 1 species
UACGGAGGGUGCAAGCGUUGCUCGGAAUUAUUGGACGUAAAGGGUAGGUAGGUGGUCUCAUUUGUCUGGGGUGAAAGCCUUGAGCUUAACUCAAGAAGUGCACCAGAAACGGUGAGACUAGAGUCCUGGAGAGGGUCGUGGAAUUCCCGGUGUAGCGGUGAAAUGCGUAGAGAUCGGGAGGAACACCAGAGGCGAAGGCGGCGACCUGGACAGGUACUGACACUCAACUACGAAAGCGUGGGGAGCAAACAGG